rnacentral:rRNA from 1 species
AUUGAACGCUGGCGGCAGGCUUAACACAUGCAAGUCGAGCGGGGUGAUGGUGCUUGCACUAUCACUUAGCGGCGGACGGGUGAGUAAUGCUUAGGAAUCUGCCUAUUAGUGGGGGACAACAUCUCGAAAGGGAUGCUAAUACCGCAUACGUCCUACGGGAGAAAGCAGGGGAUCACUUGUGACCUUGCGCUAAUAGAUGAGCCUAAGUCGGAUUAGCUAGUUGGUGGGGUAAAGGCCUACCAAGGCGACGAUCUGUAGCGGGUCGGAGAGGAUGAUCCGCCACACUGGGACGGAGACACGGCCCAGACUCCUACGGGAGGCAGCAGUGGGGAAUAUUGGACAAUGGGGGGAACCCUGAUCCAGCCAUGCCGCGUGUGUGAAGAAGGCCUUAUGGUUGUAAAGCACUUUAAGCGAGGAGGAGGCUCUUUUGGUUAAUGCCCAAGAUGAGUGGACGUUACUCGCAGAAUAAGCACCGGCUAACUCUGUGCCAGCAGCCGCGGUAA